ensembl:lncRNA
UGUAGAUGUUGAAUAAAGAGGGUCCUAAGAUCGAACCUUGUGGGACUCCACAUUUCACGUUGGUUGAUUCUGAUACAAAGUCGCCAAUGGAAACAAAGUAGUUCCUAUUUUGUAGGUAGGACCUGAACCAAUUUAAGACAGCGCCUGAAAGCCCCACCCAGUUUUCUAACCUUUCCAGAAGUAAUGUAUGUUCUACAGUGUCGAAUUCAACAGUGAGGAUGAAUUCUCUGUCGAUGGAGUUUUGGCAAAUGUAGACUCUAAUGCAGAUACUGCUGAGUGCCCUCCCUGUGAUGACAUAUCAGACGCAAUUGAACUCAUGCACGUUUGUAGCGGUGAAGUUACGGUGGAAUGUGAUACAUCGGACAAACCCCAACAGAUGCCAAAUCGUAUUAAAAUAUUCAAAAGAACAAAGGGUAAGGUUUGAAAAAAGACUAAAGGCUUUGGAGGUGACGAAAGCUAGACAUAGCAAAAAUGUUGAAACUGCAAAACAAAAAAAAAAUAGAAAAGAGAGGGAAAGGUAUGCUAAAGAUAAAUAUGUCAACAAAAAGAGAUCCUGUGAAACCAACUGUUACAGAAAAAGAAAGAUGUCCUACAUAGCCACUCGCUAUCAAAGAGACUAACUAUAAGCAGAGGCAGAAGUCAUAUAUAACAAACCGUUACUGGCAAGACAAAAGCUUUAAUCAGAGGCAGAGAUCAUAUAUAACAAACCGUUACUGGCAAGACAAAAGCUUUAAUCAGAGGCAGAGGUCAUACACCAACACCCGCUAUCGCUUAAAUGCUCAUUUCAGGCAAACCCGAAGUACUUAUGUUACCAAUCGUUAUGCAAACGACCCUGCAUUCAGAUCCAAACAGAAAGAAAAAAUGAGACAACGCAUGAGCGAUACAUACAGUAACAACCAUUCGUUUGGCAUGACUUAUAGCAUGUAUUGUGCAAUGAAAAUAAGACAAAAGUACAGGAACGUAAACAGAAGACCAAACCAAAUGGACGACAAUCGGCCGAACCAAAUGGAUGACAAUCUCAUUACGGAUGCUAUUGAGGUUUUUCGAUCCAACAUCAAAAAUGGGCCGACCUUUGCAUGUACAGUUUGCCACCGUGCGUUGUUUGCAAAUCAAGUGCGAUACUGCGAUAGGUCAAAGUAUACUCAGAACACAGAUGUUGUUGAAACCUGCCUUACAGGGAAGUUUGUUCACGUUUGUAACGAUUCAUGUGAAAAUCCACAGCAGUGCAAUGUACCAAAUGAGAGAAAGAGAGAGUGGAUCUGUCACUGUUGUCACGAACAUCUUAAAGUUGGCCGCAUGCCAAAACUCGCCAUCGCAAAUAAUUUACAGCUCGCAGAUAUUCCACCUGAACUGUGUGACUUUAACAUAUUGGAGAGACAUCUCAUUAGCAAAUACAUAACGUUUGCCAAAAUAAUCCCGCUUCCCAAAGGUCAACAACGAGCCAUUCAUGGCAAUGUAAUAUGUGUCCCAUCAGAAGUGCAGGAAACUGUCAAUGCCUUGCCCAGACUUAGAAGUGAAUCUCAAGUCUUGAGAGUGAAGCUAAAGAGACGUUUGUGUUAUAAAGGUCAUCAGCUAUUCCAAACUGUAACCUGGACUAAACUAGUGAGGGCUUUGCUUAAGCUUCAAGAGGUCCAUCCACAGUACAACGACAUAACCAUCAGAGAUGAGGCUGAAUUAUGCGAUCCAACUCUAGAUGAGGACGAAGAGACUGAAAACAUAGAUGACAGAUUUUAAUGCUGAAGAUAUGAUGGAAAUCGACAGCUUUGAGAACGUUGCACUUUGCGAGGCAGAACCUGAAAACAAUGAACUGAUUGAUUCAAUUUAAUUAAGUCAGCAGUCAAACAGCAAUCAACAGGAGGGUGAUGAACCUAAUGGCGGCAUUGCUCUCGAGUCAUGUCUGCAGCCAACUGACAUUUCAGAGGAAAUUUUGAGCUUUAGUGAAGGGAUAUAUUCGGUUGCGCCCGCUGAAGGAAACAAACCAGUAAGCUUUUUCAAAACUCCUAACCUUGAGGCGAUGGCUUUCCCCGUUCAGUUUCCGACAAGCAAAAACACAAUCGAUGAAGAGCGUCCAAAGAAAUUAACUCCCUGCAGUUAUUUCAAAAGUAGACUGUGCUGCAUCGACGACCGUUUUGCAAGAGAUACAAACUAUUUGUUCUUUGCGCAGUUUGUACAAGAAAUAUAUCAGGCCACUUCCAGCAUGUCAAUACAAUUGCGCAAAGGAAAACCGUAUACCCGCGACGGUCGCAAAAUAAACAAUGCAAUGUUGCAAGACAAACACGAGGUUGAAAAACUGGUACAUAAGAAAGACGCAAUUCGAUUCAUGAAAGUUUUGCGAGGUAGCCCGCCUACUGGCAACAAACUACCAAAGACUUGUUUGCGAUGAUAAGGCAAUGUGGAACAUGACUUUCUUUUGUACAUUUUCUGCAGCCGAAAUGCGCUGGAAAGAAAUAAUUACCGCUAUUAAAACUCAACAAGGCGAACAAGUGAAUUUCGAUGAGCUCGACUGGUCGUCCAAAUGCGAUAUUUUGCGAAGUAAUCCUGUGACAACGAUGCGCAUGUUUGACAAACGCGUUGAAGCUGUUCAGAGAUUUGAUCAUGUCACCUGCACAACCCAUUGGCAAAGUCGUU